GAUGAACGCUGGCGGCGUGCCUAAUACAUGCAAGUCGAGCGAACAGACGAGGAUCUUGCUCCUCUGACGUUAGCGGCGGACGGGUGAGUAACACGUGGAUAACCUACCUAUAAGACUGGGAUAACUUCGGGAAACCGGAGCUAAUACCGGAUAACAUGUUGAACCGCAUGGUUCAACAGUGAAAGACGGCUUUGCUGUCACUUAUAGAUGGAUCCGCGUCGGAUUAGCUAGUUGGUAAGGUAACGGCUUACCAAGGCAACGAGGCGUAGCCGAACUGAGAGGGGGAUAGGCCACACUGGAACUGAGACACGGACCGGGCGCCUAAGAGAGGCAGCAGUAGCGAAUAUGACGCAAUGGGGGGGAGCCUGACGGAGCAGGGGGGCGCGAGUGAAGAAAGUCUUCGGAGCGUAAAGCUGUGUUAUUAGGGAAGAACAAAUGUGGAAGGAACUAUGCCGGUCUUGACGGUACCUAGUCAGAAAGCAACGGCUAACUACGUG
rnacentral:rRNA from 1 species